rnacentral:snRNA from 2 species
AUUGCUUCUCAGCCUUUUGGCUAAGAUCAAGUGUAGUAUCUACUUCCCAAGAUAAAUUGGGUGAUGGUUUUAUUGGCUGCUAAAUCUCUU